UUCUAGGUGCUAAGAUUGACAUGACUGCUCCAGUGAUCAUUAAAGUCAAUGAUAGCGCGAGCAUGUGGCAGUCAUCAGUCUAUGUUUUCAGCUUCCGCCUGCCCUCCAACUUCCAGGCAAUCCACCCAAACUACCAAUCCAUCUGUAUACUUUACAAACACUCCAGGUAUGAAAGUAUAUGUCAAAAGCUACGGGGGCUGGAUGAUGUCAGCUGUGGCCAUAUCGCAGGCUCAGAGUCUGAAGACAUCACUGGACAAUGUACAGGCUACACAUGAGACCGAGUACUACUAUAAUGUCGGCUAUAACAGAUCCACAGAGAACAUCACUGCAUUAUUCCUGUACUGGCUAAAUUGCUAUACAUCUUUUUUCUAAUGAGUAUAGGAUAUAUACAUUUCACUGUAGGAUAUUAUACUAUAAGCACAUAUACUGUAAAAGGGUUGGGUUUGGUUAAGCAGAAAACAAACAACAAAAAAAGGGGGGGAAUUGUCAAAAAAAGUAUGGUAUUUGGUGUAUAACCAUUUGUUAUAAGCAGCUGUGAUGAAAAUAAAAUAAAAACUGUAAUAAUCGUGUGUGUGU